rnacentral:rRNA from 1 species
GAUGAACGCUGGCGGCGUGCUUAACACAUGCAAGUCGAACGGAAAGGCCGAAGCUUGCUUCGGUACUCGAGUGGCGAACGGGUGAGUAACACGUGGGUGAUCUGCCCUGUACUUCGGGAUAAGCUUGGGAAACUGGGUCUAAUACCGGAUAUGACGAUCUCUUGGAUGGGGUUGUGGAAAGCUUUUGCGGUAUGGGAUGAGCUCGCGGCCUAUGAGUUUGUUGGUGGGGUAAUGGCCUACCAAGGCGUCGACGGGUAGCCGGCGUGAGAGGGUGUCCGGCCAUUUGGGACUGGAAAUGAGGCCGAGCCUCCUGGGGGGGGCAGAGGGGGGGAAUUUUGCAAAAGGGGCGGAGGCUUUAUGCAGGGACGCCGGGUGGGGGAUGCCGGCCUUGGGUUUGAAACCCUUUUCCGAAAGGGAGGAACCUUUGGGGGCGGUAAGUUGAAAAGAAGGCCCGGGUAAAUACGUG